UACGGAGGGUGCAAGCGUUAAUCGGAAUUACUGGGCGUAAAGCGUACGUAGGCGGCUUGUUAAGCAAGAUGUGAAAUCCCCGGGCUCAACCUGGGAAUGGCAUUUUGAACUGGCAGGCUCGAGUUCUGAAGAGGGUGGUAGAAUUUCCAGUGUAGCGGUGAAAUGCGUAGAUAUUGGAAGGAAUACCGGUGGCGAAGGCGGCCACCUGGUCAGAAACUGACGCUGAGGUACGCAAGCGUGGGGAGCAAACAGG
rnacentral:rRNA from 1 species